rnacentral:rRNA from 1 species
CCUGGCUCAGGAUGAACGCUAGCUACAGGCUUAACACAUGCAAGUCGAGGGGCAGCAUGGUCUUAGCUUGCUAAGACCGAUGGCGACCGGCGCACGGGUGAGUAACGCGUAUCCAACCUGCCUUACACUCUUGGACAGCCUUCUGAAAGGGAGAUUAAUACAAGAUGUUAUCAUGAGUAAGCAUUUUCGCAUGAUUAAAGGUUUACCGGUGUAAGAUGGGGAUGCGUUCCAUUAGAUAGUAGGCGGGGUAACGGCCCACCUAGUCUUCGAUGGAUAGGGGUUCUGAGAGGAAGGUCCCCCACAUUGGAACUGAGACACGGUCCAAACUCCUACGGGAGGCAGCAGUGAGGAAUAUUGGUCAAUGGACGAGAGUCUGAACCAGCCAAGUAGCGUGAAGGAUGAAGGUUCUAUGGAUUGUAAACUUCUUUUAUACGGGAAUAAACGGAUCCACGUGUGGAUUUUUGCAUGUACCGUAUGAAUAAGGAUCGGCUAACUCCGUGCCAGCAGCCGCGGUAAUACGGAGGAUCCGAGCGUUAUCCGGAUUUGUUGGGUUUAAAGGGAGCGUAGAUGGGUUGUUAAGUCAGUUGUGAAAGUUUGCGGCUCAACCGUAAAAUUGCAAUUGAUACUGGCAGUCUUGAGUACAGUUGAGGUAGGCGGAAUUCGUGGUGUAGCGGUGAAAUGCUUAGAUAUCACGAAGAACUCCGAUUGCGAAGGCAGCUUACUAACCUGUAACUGACAUUGAUGCUCGAAAGUGUGGGUAUCAAACAGGAUUAGAUACCCUGGUAGUCCACACGGUAAACGAUGAAUACUCGCUGUAGGCGAUAUACAGUCUGCGGCCAAGCGAAAGCAUUAAGUAUUCCACCUGGGGAGUACGCCGGCAACGGUGAAACUCAAAGGAAUUGACGGGGGCCCGCACAAGCGGAGGAACAUGUGGUUUAAUUCGAUGAUACGCGAGGAACCUUACCCGGGCUUAAAUUGCAACCGAAUAUGGCGGAAACGCUAUAGCUAGCAAUAGCGGUUGUGAAGGUGCUGCAUGGUUGUCGUCAGCUCGUGCCGUGAGGUGUCGGCUUAAGUGCCAUAACGAGCGCAACCCUUGCCGAUAGUUACUAACAGGUCAUGCUGAGGACUCUGUCGGGACUGCCAUCGUAAGAUGUGAGGAAGGUGGGGAUGACGUCAAAUCAGCACGGCCCUUACGUCCGGGGCUACACACGUGUUACAAUGGGGGGUACAGAGGGCUGCUACCACGCAAGUGGAUGCCAAUCCCAAAAACCUCUCUCAGUUCGGAUUGAAGUCUGCAACCCGACUUCAUGAAGCUGGAUUCGCUAGUAAUCGCGCAUCAGCCACGGCGCGGUGAAUACGUUCCCGGGCCUUGUACACACCGCC